rnacentral:rRNA from 1 species
CCUACGGGGGGCAGCAGUGAGGAAUAUUGGUCAAUGGACGAGAGUCUGAACCAGCCAAGUAGCGUGAAGGAUGACUGCCCUAUGGGUUGUAAACUUCUUUUAUAUGGGAGUAAAAUGUUCCACGUGUGGGAUUUUGUAUGUACCAUAUGAAUAAGGAUCGGCUAACUCCGUGCCAGCAGCCGCGGUAAUACGGAGGAUCCGAGCGUUAUCCGGAUUUAUUGGGUUUAAAGGGAGCGUAGGUGGAUUGUUAAGUCAGUUGUGAAAGUUUGCGGCUCAACCGUAAAAUUGCAGUUGAAACUGGCAGUCUUGAGUACAGUAGAGGUGAGCGGAAUUCGUGGUGUAGCGGUGAAAUGCUUAGAUAUCACGAAGAACUCCGAUUGCGAAGGCAGUUCACUGGACUGCAACUGACACUGAGGCUCGAAAGUGUGGGUAUCAAACAGGAUUAGAUACCCGGGUAGUC